UGCCUCGUAUGUGACUCGAACACAUGAUCUCUCGCUUACUAAGCGAGCGCCUUACCAACUUGGCCAACGAGGC
rnacentral:tRNA from 1 species